GUCACCAACGUCUUAUCCACUGAUCCACCCCUGCCCUGGAAUCAACCAACAUCUUAUCCACUGAUCUACCCCUGCCCUGGAAUCACCCAACAUCUUAUCCACUGAUCUACCCCUGCCCUGGAAUCACCCAACAUCUUACACACUGAUCCACCCCUGUCCUGGAGUCAACCAACAUCUUAUCCACUGAUCUACCCCUGCCCUGGAAUUACCCAACAUCUUAUCCACUGAUCUACCCCUGCCCUGGAGUCAACCAACAUCUUAUCCACUGAUCUACCCCGCCCUACAGUCACCAACAUCUUAUCCACUGAUCCAUCCCUGCCCUGGAAUCACCAACAUCUUAUCCACUGAUCCAUCCCUGCCCUGGAGUCACCCAACAUCUUAUGCACGGAUCUACCCCUGCCCUGGAGUCAACAAACAUCUUAUCCACUGAUCCACCCCUGGCCUGGAAUUACCCAACAUCUUAUCCACUGAUCCACCCCUGCCCUGGAGUCACCAACAUCUUAUCCACUGAUCUACCCCUGCCCUGGAGCCAACCGACAUCUUAUCCACUGAUCCACCCCUGGCCUGGAGCCAACCAACAUCUUAUCCACUGAUCCACCCCUGCCCUGGAUCAACCAACAUCUUAUCCACUGAUCCAUCCUUGCCCUGGAAUCACCCAACAUCUUAUCCACGGUUCCACCCCUGCCCUACAUCAACCAACAUCUUAUCCACUGAUCCAUCCCUGUCCUGGAAUCUCCCAACAUCUUAUCCACUGAUCCAUCCCUGUCCUGGAAUCUCCCAACAUCUUAUCCACGGUUCCAUCCCUGCCCUGGAGUCAGCAGCAUCUUAUACACUGGUCUACCCCUGCCCUGGAGUCAACCAACAUCUUAUCCACUGAUCUACCCCUGCCCUGGAAUCACCCAACAUCUUAUCCA
ensembl:lncRNA